AGAACGAACGCUGGCGGCAGGCUUAACACAUGCAAGUCGAACGGUUGUAGCAAUACAGCAGUGGCAGACGGGUGAGUAACACGUGGGAACCUUCCUAGGGGUACGGAACAACUCAGGGAAACUUGAGCUAAUACCGUAUACGUCCGUGAGGAGAAAGUUUAACGCCCCUAGACGGGCCCGCGUAGGAUUAGGUAGUUGGUGAGGUAAUGGCUCGACCAAGCCUACGAUCCUUAGCUGAUCUGAGA
rnacentral:rRNA from 1 species